GGGAAGCCGGUCGAAGUCCGGCGCUGACCCGCAACCGUGGGCCCGUCACCGUACGGGCGAGCCGGAAUGCC
rnacentral:ncRNA from 2 species